GAUGAACGCUGGCGGCGUGCCUAAUACAUGCAAGUCGAGCGAACAGACGAGGAGCUUGCUCCUCUGACGUUAGCGGCGGACGGGUGAGUAACACGUGGAUAACCUACCUAUAAGACUGGGAUAACUUCGGGAAACCGGAGCUAAUACCGGAUAAUAUAUUGAACCGCAUGGUUCAAUAGUGAAAGACGGUUUUGCUGUCACUAAUAGAUGGAUCCGCGCCGCAUUAGCUAGUUGGUAAGGUAACGGCUUACCAAGGCAACGAUGCGUAGCCGACCUGAGAGGGUGAUCGGCCACACUGGAACUGAGACACGGUCCAGACUCCUACGGGAGGCAGCAGUAGGGAAUCUUCCGCAAAGGGCGAAAGCCUGACGGAGCAACGCCGCGUGAGUGAUGAAGGUCUUCGGAUCGUAAAGCUCUGUUAUUAGGGAAGAACAAAUGUGUAAGUAACUAUGCACGUCUUGACGGUACCUAAUCAGAAAGCCACGGCUAACUACGUG
rnacentral:rRNA from 1 species